GUCGGGCGGUGGGCGGUUCGCUGUUCCCCGACUGACGCCACGUGUCCUCUCCUGUGGCUCUUGCUCCUUCCUCGUCUUCUCCUUGUCCCUUGCCCUGGAGCCUGACGGGACACACAACCGCUUUGUCUGUUGCUUUGUUUUCAGUCUCCAUAUUUAAUUUAUGUUGAAACUAACACUGAAGAAGAUGAGAUUUUAUGCGAGUACCUGAGUUGAACGGGUUGAGAAACAAUACCGAGAAAUCUGUCUUUUCUUAAUGUUUUUGUGUCUAUGUCUUUGUUACUGUCUUAGCCAAUACUCGCAGAACGUUCGUAUAUGAGGCACUAAAAGAGUACAUGGACACAACACAGUCCAUGGGGGAAGGUGUGUGUCUGUUUUCUCCUGCGAUCUCCUAGCCUAACCAGUUACUCGGUGUCAAUCAAAUUUUCUCGUUGUUUUUUCCGAUGUGGUCUUCUUCGUUGCCCUGACAGUUGUUUCCCUAAUAGUGUGUCCCAGCCCUCAACUACCCUGGGCAGGACCAAUAACUGGAGGCAGAAAUUACUUCAAGCAUGCCCUGCAUGGUCUAACCUUCCUGGCAUCUCCGUGGCUCUUGGAGGCUCCAUUUGUCCACCGACAACCCACCAGAGAAGGAGGUAGCUGUGAGCCGUUGACAGCUGACAUCCGAAGCAGCCUUAGUGUGUUGUCUGACAUCCUCAUCCCUGGUGCCUCAUCAUCACCACAUGACUGCUGCAGCUCUAGACAUCACUUCUGCAUUCAGCUGGAAAGGAGGAAAAAGAACAGUCCCAGCCAUGUCUGCUCCUUCUUACCGGAAAUGUAAAAGCUUUCCCAGCAACACUGCGGGCAGAGUUCCACUUAGGUAUCACAGGCCAGAACUAGGUCUGUGACCACUCCUACUGCAAAGAAGACUAAGAAAGAGGGGAAGAGGUUUGUCCUGAUUGGCUUAAACUAAUUCACACCUGGCUGCAUUUUAGACUCAACGGGGGAGCUUCUAAAAAACACCUGUGUUUCAGGACACCUGGGUGGCUCAGUUGGUUAAGUGUCUGCCUUCAGCUCGGGUCAUGAUCUUGGGGUCCUGGGAUUCAGCCCUGCGUCGUUGGGUUCCCUUCUCAGUGGGGAGCCUGC